UGGAGAUUUGUGUUUGUGAUGCAUACUUUGUUGUAGAUUUAAUAACAGAUUUCAUUUUAUAUUGAUUAAUUGUUUCCUUCACUGUUAGGGGUUGUUGAAAAUCGCUGCUUGGAUAAACUGGUGUUCAGAGGAGACUCCAUCAUGUUCACAUGCAACACAUCCAUGGCAAAUAUAACUCAAAUCAGAUGGACAAAAGGCAUAUCUGUUUUUAUUUAUUCAGUCAUUAACAAUAAGACUUUUUCAAAUUCCACCUCUCACAGACUGAGAAUAGACUCAAACUCAUCGACAAAGCUGCAUGUUAUUAAUGCUCAGUGUGAUGACGAAGGACUUUAUAUAUGUGAUGUAAUUAGUACUGAUGGUCUAAGCUCUGUUGUGUGGAAUUUAACAGUGUCUGAAGUGUCUGAGAAACCUGAAGAAGUCAGUUCAUCGUGGUAUUUUCUAUACAUACUCACAUCUGUAAUUGGAUCGCUCCUAUGUGGCUUCACUUCAGCUUUCUGUCUCUGCAGAAAACUCAGGGCCCGCACACCAAACCAGAACCCAGUCCAGCACCAGUUUCCUCUUGAGUCGAGAGAAGAGGCGGCCGUCACUCAGCCAGAGGGUGGCACAGAAAGAAGGGCAAAAAACAAGAAGAGCAGUCAGUACAUGGAGAGGCUCAACUCAAUCUAUGGUGUCUAAUGAGCUGACGAGCCUUUCAAAUGAAAGUCAGACAUGGACAGAGUGUUCAAGAGAGAGAUCAAACUUGACAGGCAUUAAAUUUUUUAUUUUCAAACCAGGUGCUUCAAGGGAAGGCGAUCAGAAGGAGGACAUCUUUGUCACUGAUGCCUUCGGCUUAUCUAACAGUACCACAUUAAAACCAGUGCUUUCACUUUAAGGGAUAUUGUUUUUAGCUUAUCUUUUUAUUUUAUGGCUUUGAAUCUGACUGUUCUUAGUGUGCUGUGUUGAAUGUUUUCCUGUCUGCACUAUUAGCUCACCAAGGCAAGUUCCUAAGAAUGUUUCUUGUAAUGGCAAUAACGUUACCUUGUGUAUAUAGAUAUGUUUAUAUAUAUAUUUAUGUAUAGAUAUGUUCUUAAUAAUUAUUAUGUUGUAUGUAAAUAUGUUGUAUGUAGAUUUGGAGUUGUGAUGAAAGUAAUUUCCCCCUGGGAUUAUUAAAGUAUUUUUGAUUCAGAUUCUGAUCAAAUCAACUCAACAGGCUUCUAUUGGGAGUCGGUGCCCCCUAGGGUUCUGUGGGGGGAAUGACAAUCAAAAUAAAUUACAUUCAGAGACUACAGUGUAGUGUUAUUUUCAGUUAAUCCAGUGAACUAGUCCAGAGUAGAAGUUGUUGACUCCUCUGGGGAAAAUGCAUAUAUAAUUUACUGAGCAUCAAGAUCUGGUUGUUGUUCUUUUUUUAAACACCAAAAAGCAAUUGGUGUGCUCUGAAAGCACAGUCAGAAGUACGGUCACACUAUGUGGGUGUUCAGCUCUGUGUAGAAGUGGUUUUCAUGCAGUUGAAUAUGUCUACGUAUAUAUUUCAGCUGAUUGCUAAUGAAAUUAUUUUACAGAUGAUUUUCAAGACGGACCAAGUUUGAAUUCUCAAGAUUCAAAUUUGAAUGAAGUUGUUGUCUAUUAGACUCUCACAUGACUUAAUUUUAUGUUCUACAAAAGCUGUGACACAUCAGUGUACACACAUCUUAGUUUUGAGCAGUUAGACCCCAACAAACCACUUCCUUUCCUGUGCACCUCCUCCACAAAUACAUUUAUUAACUGAUGCUGAUGUUCCCGUCUGACUUUCUCUGUCUGGUGGUCAUCAUGUUCAGCUUUAAAGCAGUUCUGCUCUCCGUUCAACUAUCAGUUAUGUGCCAAGUCUUUGCAGGGGUUCCUGAAAACCACUACUGGGAUAUACUGGUGUUCAGAGGAGACUCCAUCAUGUUCACAUGCAACACAUCCAUGGCAAAUAUAACUCUAAUCAAAUGGACCAAAGGCAGAUCUGUUUUUAUUUAUGCAGUCAUUAACAAUAAGACUUUUUCAAAUUUCACCUCUCACAGACUGAGAAUAGACUCAAACUCAUCAACAAAGCUGCAUGUUAUUAAUGCUCAGUGUGAUGACGAAGGACUUUAUAUAUGUAAUGUAACUAGUAUUGAUGGUCCAAGCUCUGUUGUGUGGAAUUUAACAGUGUCUGAAGUGUCUGAGAAACCUGAAGAAGUCAGUUCAUCGUGGUAUUUUCUAUACAUACUCACAUCUGUAAUUGGAUUGCUCUGUGGCUUCACUCCAGCUCUCUGUCUCUGCAGAAAAAUCUGGACCAAGACCCCAAACCAGGACUUAGUGAGUAGCAGGACCCUGAUUUAUGCCCAGUCUCACCUUCAGUUGGGAGGAGAGGUUGUUCCUGCUCAAUAUCAAAGUUGUGUAGAAUACAGGAUAAAUCACAAGCAGGAGGAGUCAGUUCUUCAAUAGGUUCGAUUCAGUCUGUGGUCUGUAGAGCAUGAUGUUCAGAUUAAAGCCGAAUAAGAAAUAAGAGAUAUGUGGGACACAAAGAGAGGACUGUUUUGAUGGAAAAUAUUGUGAAACCAGACCAGAGAUUGAUGGUCUUGUUAAAAAUAAACAUGGAGAAAAGUUGAUUAUUUGAUUCAGUU